rnacentral:rRNA from 1 species
ACGAACGCUGGCGGCGUGCUUAACACAUGCAAGUCGAACGGAAAGACCCUGCUUUUGUGGGGUGCUCGAGUGGCGAACGGGUGAGUAACACGUGAGUAACCUGCCCUUGACUUUGGGAUAACUUCAGGAAACUGGGGCUAAUACCGGAUAGGAGCUCCUGCUGCAUGGUGGGGGUUGGAAAGUUUCGGCGGUUGGGGAUGGACUCGCGGCUUAUCAGCUUGUUGGUGGGGUAGUGGCUUACCAAGGCUUUGACGGGUAGCCGGCCUGAGAGGGUGACCGGCCACAUUGGGACUGAGAUACGGCCCAGACUCCUACGGGAGGCAGCAGUGGGGAAUAUUGCACAAUGGGCGGAAGCCUGAUGCAGCAACGCCGCGUGCGGGAUGACGGCCUUCGGGUUGUAAACCGCUUUCGCCUGUGACGAAGCGUGAGUGACGGUAAUGGGUAAAGAAGCACCGGCUAACCACGUG